UGAGUAACCUGCCCUUAACUCUGGGAUAAGCCUGGGAAACUGGGUCUAAUACCGGAUAUGACUCCUCAUCGCAUGGUGGGGGGUGGAAAGCUUUUUGUGGUUUUGGAUGAACUCGCGGCCUAUCAGCUUGUUGGUGAGGUAAUGGCUCACCAAGGCGACGACGGGUAGCCGGCCUGAGAGGGUGACCGGCCACACUGGGACUGAGACACGGCCCAGACUCCUACGGGAGGCAG
rnacentral:rRNA from 1 species